rnacentral:lncRNA from 1 species
UAUGGUAUCAUCAGUUUUGCUGACAAGUUCCUGAAUGCAUCUGCUAUCUUGAUGCUUAUGCAUGUAAUUCAUAGCGGUAUUUAAAUCGACCUAUAGUUGAAACUCGAAAGGCAUCUCAAUGCAUCGCAGAGAUAUUUUUAUUAAGCCAAAGUGAUUAGUACAUCACGUGAGGCAGUGGACUCUAAGGAUACUUUGGCGCGUGACUAUCGACCCACACAUCGAUAUUCCAUUUGCUCGUAGGUCCCCAUAGACCUGAUGUGGCUAUUGGUACUCACGUGUUUCAUCUCUUGAUAAAGAGGGUCUAUUCCAUGUAAAUAUGUAAACAACCAUACAAACUAUUUUUUAGAUAAUGAAGUAACCAUAUAUGCAAAAAAAAAGGUAACCUUAUAUACAAACUAAAAGGAAAAGACAAGUUUAAAAGGCCAGGAGAAGCAACGGUGGGCAAAAUUCAAACAGAAAGGGAAAGG